UACAGAGGUCUCAAGCGUUGUUCGGAUUCAUUGGGCGUAAAGGGUGCGUAGGCGGCGCGGUAAGUCGGAUGUGAAAUCUUGGAGCUUAACUCCGAAACUGCAUUCGAUACUGCCGUGCUUGAGGACUGGAGAGGAGACUGGAAUUUACGGUGUAGCGGUGAAAUGCGUAGAUAUCGUAAGGAAGACCAGUGGCGAAGGCGGGUCUCUGGACAGUUCCUGACGCUGAAGCACGAAGGCCAGGGGAGCAAACGGGG
rnacentral:rRNA from 1 species